AGAGAGAGACAUGCGCGCAUAUCAAUAAGCGGAGGAAAAGAAACUAACAAGGAUUCCCCUAGUAACGGCGAGUGAAGCGGGAAGAGCUCAAAUUUGAAAUCUUAAAGGGUUUCCCUUUACGAAUUGUAGUUUAAAGAAGUGUUUUCUGUUGAGGUUUUGGUAAAAGUUCUUUGGAAUAGGACAUCAUAGAGGGUGAGAAUCCCGUAUUUGACCUUUACUUUCAACUUUGUGAUACACUUUCAAGGAGUCGGAUUGUUUGGGAAUGCAGUCCAAAAUGGGUGGUAAAUUUCAUCUAAAGCUAAAUAUUGGCGAGAGACCGAUAGCGAACAAGUACCGUGAGGGAUAGAUGAAAAGAACUUUGAAAAGAGAGUUAAACAGUACGUGAAAUUGUCAAAAGGGAAGCGUUUGACACCAGUGUUGUUUUUCUGAAAAUCAAUUAAAGAACUGUUUAUGCUAAGCUGUUUAGACUUUAUCAGCUAUCUGUUUAGUUUUGAGCUUUUCUUUAAUGCACUUUUCAGUUAACAAGUCAACAUCAAUUUCUUUUGCUGUAAAAAAGCUUGAGGAAGGUGGCUUGAGAUUCGUCUUAAGUGUUUAUAGCCUCUUGCCUAUGCAGUCGGAGAGAUUGAGGUCUGCAGCGUAGAUCCUUCGGGGCUAAAUGCAUUUGUGCUAAGUUAUAGCAUUUUAUAGACAACUUGUUGACUAUGAUUUGUCUUGUAGCUUACUCGCUUAUGUUAUUUUACCUACGCUUAGGAUGUUGAGCGCAUGUCUCUCUCU
rnacentral:rRNA from 1 species